rnacentral:rRNA from 1 species
GAGCCUACGGGGGGCAGCAGUGAGGAAUAUUGGUCAAUGGGCGCAAGCCUGAACCAGCCAAGUCGCGUGAGGGAUGACGGUCCUAUGGAUUGUAAACCUCUUUUGUCGGGGAGCAAGGCCCGCCACGUGUGGCGGGAAGGAGAGUACCCGAAGAAAAAGCAUCGGCUAACUCCGUGCCAGCAGCCGCGGUAAUACGGAGGAUGCGAGCGUUAUCCGGGUUUAUUGGGCGUAAAGGGUGCGUAGGCGGCCUGCUAAGUCUGGAGUGAAAGGUACCGGCUCAACCGGGACAGGCUC